CCUACGGGAGGCAGCAGUAAGGAAUAUUGGACAAUGCUCGCAAGAGUGAUCCAGCCAUGCCGCGUGCAGGAAGACGGCCCUAUGGGUUGUAAACUGCUUUUGAACUAGAGAAAACCCUUCUACGUGUAGAAGGCUGAUAGUAUAGUUAGAAUAAGCAUCGGCUAACUUCGUGCCAGCAGCCGCGGUAAGACGAAGGAUGCAAGCGUUAUCCGGAUUCAUUGGGUUUAAAGGGAGCGUAGGUGGACUGAUAAGUCAGUGGUGAAAUCUCUCGGCUUAACCGAGAAAUUGCCAUUGAUACUGUUGGUCUUGAGUACAGUUGCUGUGGGCGGAAUAUGACAUGUAGUGGUGAAAUACAUAGAGAUGUCAUAGAACACCGAUUGCGAAGGCAGCUCACAAAGCUGUAACUGACACUGAGGCUCGAAAGUGCGGGGAUCAAACAGGAUUAGAUACCCUGGUAGUCCGCACUGUAAACGAUGAUUACUCGCUGCUGGGAGGUAACUUUCAGUGGCUUAGCGAAAGCGANAAGUAAUCCACCUGGGGAGUACGCCGGCAACGGUGAAACGUCAAAGGAAUUGACGGCGNGAGGACGNGCGACGGACGACGACGAGGGGAGGAGG
rnacentral:rRNA from 1 species